UAAACCCUAUCCUCCCCAAGCUGGUAUUGGUUGGAGUGUUUCGUCACAGCAAUUGAAGGCAGACUAGAACAGAGACAAAUGAGGUUAUACACGAGCCCCGUUCAGGACAGCUGGGACCACCUUCCCAUAGGCUCCGGUUUCUGCUCUCUCCUCUCCCGUGGCUGCUGCUGCCAAAGAAGAAGGAUUUCACCUGGGCACUCUCCUAUUAAAUUCUCUUCCACAAGCUUCUCUGACGAUUCUAGGAUAGCAUACCAACCUCAACAUGACCGUGGCAUGGACUAGGUCCCGGAUACAAGUUUGGUAAAUUGUGCAAUCAUGAUUCUCCACAUUUGGGCCCCCAAGGAAGAAAUGUAUCGUAGUGGAAUCAUGGGUGGUACAGAUGCUGUUUUGGAAGGAGAGCUCUUGCUUCACACUAGCAAAUCUAGGCACCAGCUCCUUGACCUGCUUGGAUGGUCCCUGCUCCCUUGUCAAGCCCUUGCCUCAUUCCUCACCCUCAUGCUGCAUCUCUGGCCAGGCCUGCUGCAGUGAGGCCUUCAGAGGGAAUUCAAGGUUAUCCCAAUCAUGGCUUCAGACCUGCUGUCAUUCUCACGUGAAGAAGAGGGAGCACCUGGGAAUUGGGCCUGGCUCCAUAGGCAUAUGUUUAUUUGGUCAUGGGAUCACGGAUGUCCUGGAGGUCCUGAUCACAAGCCCCUGACUGAGAGACAGACGAUUCCAGACACCAAAGUUUUUUGAGAAGCUGAUACAUGCUAGGUCCACCUCACAGAGCUGAGGAAGUGACUAACUGCUUUCUGCAUCUCCACAAACAACAUAAAACAGCACCUGCCACAUGAUGCCAAUCAAAUGGUGCUGAAGAACAUGCCCCACUGGUGGUGAUAGGAGUCCGAGUGAUGUCCCCAAAGUGGAGGAAGUGGUUGAAGAGGAGGCGUCUGGGGAUCUCUUUGGGUAUUAAAGAUAGCCUAUGGUUUGAGCAUGGUGGUG